CCUACGGGAGGCAGCAGUGGGGAAUAUUGCGCAAUGGGCGAAAGCCUGACGCAGCGACGCCGCGUGAGGGAUGAAGGUCUUCGGAUCGUAAACCUCUGUCAGCAGGGAAGAACGGUCACUGUGCUAAUCAGCAGUGAAUUGACGGUACCUGCAAAGGAAGCACCGGCUAACUCCGUGCCAGCAGCCGCGGUAAUACGGAGGGUGCGAGCGUUAAUCGGAAUUACUGGGCGUAAAGCGCUCGUAGGCGGUAUGUCAAGUCAAGGGUGAAAUCCCCGCGCUCAACGUGGGAACUGACUUUGAAACUGGCAGACUGGAGUGUGUGAGAGGAUAGUGGAAUUCCAGGUGUAGGAGUGAAAUCCGUAGAUAUCUGGAGGAACAUCAGUGGCGAAGGCGACUAUCUGGCACAUAACUGACGCUGAGGAGCGAAAGCGUGGGUAGCAAACAGGAUUAGAUACCCGGGUAGUC
rnacentral:rRNA from 1 species